AGAAGGGAAUAUAUUAAGGCCUGAUAGAGUUGCUACUGCACAUAAGGGAGGUUCAGGUGAUCCUUUGUCCGCAGCAACAAAUGCUCACAAUGCUUCGAAAC